UUUGGUAGGACUGGCCUGGUUGCACAGAAGAAAGAGCAGACUGUCCCCUGCCGACAGGAGUUCUGCGAUGCACUGCGGCCAAUCCCAGACGUGAGGCAGAAGAGUAGGAGGUUUUCCCCAACCCGACGCCAACUGCAGUCAUCGUAAGAAGAUGCGGAAGCACAGUGAGCAGUCCCAGCCCAGCAGAGCCCAGCCAAGUAGAGCCCAGCUAGCCCAGCAGAGUGCAACAGAAGUGGAAGAUAGAAGGACCCAAAUCCGUCACCAGGAUGCCUAAUAGAGAAGAUUUUGAAUUUAUUCUAUUCUGUCUCUUUCCUGUCUUCUAUCCACUCCCCUCAAUCUAACAUAACUAACCAUCCCAACCCCUAAACUCCUUUAUGUCCUUUCCGAACGAACUUCUUUUUUCACUCAUUUUGUUGUAGUGUUGUUAUUGUUUUGAAUUUGCACUAAUUUUGUGUCAGUUGUGUAUUUUCAGAGACUGGGACGUGGUACGACGCUGGAGGAUCAAGGCCGGCCAACAGAUGAAGAUUCCAUUGUCCAGUUAUGAAGACCGGCCCACAUUGGCCGAAGGAGAAUGGUUAGGCAAGCAUCAGUCCCACUGUGACGUACGGCAGCCUUCUGGUGAGCAAGGAUGGACUGCAGCCAACCAUUGAAGAGAGGAGAUGCAGCCUAAUGCAGCCCUCUAACUGCAGCUCUGAAGAGCAGACUGUCAGCUGAAAAAGCCUAAGUGCUGAGAGUUCGGUGGUCAACUGUGACAAACGCAAGGUCAGGAUGUUCUGGUUUCCCAGAGGAAGUGGGCACUCGGACCUGCCAGAAGGAGUGCAAAGAGUUCCUGGAUGAAGUGCGGCUGACCCAAGCUGUGAAGGUUUGGUAAGACUGGCCUGAUUGCACAGAAGAAAGAGCAGACUGUCCCCUGCCGACAGGAGUUCUGCGACUGUGUCAAAAUGGCUCAAAGUUUCUUGGUGCAUACUGAGAGUGAAGCCCUAUGAUGUGGUGUACUUUGUUUCCCAUUCAAAUGCGGUGAGGAAGACUAUGGCUGGCCUACAGAAGAAGAGGAACAGAAGAGGAGU